rfam:Salmo salar isolate Sally breed double haploid chromosome ssa25, whole genome shotgun sequence.
UGCAUUCACUACUGUAAGUCGCUCUGGAUAAGAGCGUCUGUAAAUGACUCAAA